GUGAAUACAUAGCGUGAGGAAGGCAGACCCAGGGAACUGAAACAUCUAAGUACCUGGAGGAAGAGAAAGAAAAAUCGAUUUCCUGAGUAGCGGCGAGCGAAACGGAAAGAGCCCAAACCAAGAAGCUUGCUUCUUGGGGUUGUAGGACACUCUAUACGGAGUUACAAAAGAAAGUUAUAAAUGAAGCGGUCUGGAAAGGCCCGCCAAAGACGGUAACAGCCCGGUAGUUGAAAUAGCUUUCCCUCCAGAGUGGAUCCUGAGUACGGCGGAACACGUGAAAUUCCGUCGGAAUCCGGGAGGACCAUCUCCCAAGGCUAAAUACUCCCUAGUGACCGAUAGUGAACCAGUACCGUGAGGGAAAGGUGAAAAGCACCCCGGAAGGGGAGUGAAACAGUUCCUGAAACCGUGUGCCUACAAGUAGUUAGAGCCCGUUAAUGGGUGAUAGCGUGCCUUUUGUAGAAUGAACCGGCGAGUUACGAUUUGUUGCAAGGUUAAGCGGAAAAAGCGGAGCCGUAGCGAAAGCGAGUCUGAAUAGGGCGCAUAAGUAACAGGUCGUAGACCCGAAACCAGGUGAUCUACCCAUGUCCAGGAUGAAGGUAAGGUAAUACUUACUGGAGGUCCGAACCCACGCACGUUGAAAAGUGCGGGGAUGAGGUGUGGGUAGCGGAGAAAUUCCAAUCGAACUUGGAGAUAGCUGGUUCUCUCCGAAAUAGCUUUAGGGCUAGCCUCGAGGUAAAGAGUCAUGGAGGUAGAGCACUGUUUGGACUAGGGGCCCUUCUCGGGUUACCGAAUUCAGAUAAACUCCGAAUGCCAUGUACUUAUACUCGGGAGUCAGACUGCGAGUGAUAAGAUCCGUAGUCGAAAGGGAAACAGCCCAGACCACCAGUUAAGGUCCCCAAAUAUAUGUUAAGUGGAAAAGGAUGUGGGGUUGCUUAGACAACCAGGAUGUUGGCUUAGAAGCAGCCACCAUUGAAAGAGUGCGUAAUAGCUCACUGGUCGAGUGACCCCGCGCCGAAAAUGUACCGGGGCUAAACAUAUUACCGAAACUGUGGAUGAACCUCUU
rnacentral:rRNA from 1 species